CCCAGUAUCCUCGUUGCCCCAAACCUAGCCGUUUGAGAAGCUCCCCUUCUCUCUAGAAGUUUCACCUGGAGCCCAGAGCCAAAGACUUCUCCACUCAUGUCUCAUUUCCCUCAAAAACCGUAGCAGCCGCAUCGUCCAACACUCAAACCCUCCAAUGAAUUUCAUGGUCCAAAACAUACUUCACCAUGAUCUCAUCAUUCUUCGGCCAUAGAUUAACCUCAAAAACAAAUACCCAGCCGUGCCUCCCUAACUGUAUCUCACGUCCCUCUCAGUUCUUGACACUGAUAAAGGUAACUCUCUUCCGCAUCUCCUUUGAUUUCGUCUCCAAGGCUGCAAAUCUCAGAUCCGGCGAUACAGUAUUGCUAUCCCAUGUGCUUGCAUGAAUCGUGAUGAAUGAUGACUCAAAAUGGUGUGCACAAAACUGGAUCUACAUCUUGACUUGAUGAUCUGUGCACUCUGUGCAACAUGGAUCCCUCCCCCAAACUUGAAUGUAAUUAUAUUUUGAAUGACGUGUGAGAGAAAGGGGUCCAUUAGCAUAGAGGUCUUCUCAGUAUCCUCACUCAGCAUAUUCUGAAUUUGAGUGAACAUCCAUCUCCAACACUACAAUUUUAAUGUAUUUCUGCACCUCAGUGUGUUCCUUUGCAGCAUCUUGACCGGUUGUGUCUGACACAUGGACUUGGGUGGAGGUAGAUUUUGCGGAAAUAAUUUCACGAUCAACAGUGGUGUUUCCGCCCUUGGGCGUGAAUAGCUUGCAGGUGGCUCUUCCGUUUCUGCACCAAUUUCCUCGUGAUCAUCAUAGAUGUUCUCACAGUUUAAAGCUUGAAUCUGAAAUCCUUGAUUGGUUCUUUCAAUGUACAACUCAUUUGCUUCCAACAAUAUAGAAAUUUUGUCUUCCACUGGAAGUUCUUGGGGCACAUCAGGUUGCUCAAAAUACUGUAGAUUACAUGCCCACAUAAAAUAAAUAUAUUUUUUCAAGCUUGGAGUGUAGAACUCUGAAUA